ensembl:lncRNA
CUUAAUUAUUCACGGAUUUGAUACACUGAAGUGUCAUUAACAUUCAGGACUCCAUCUUAAAGUAAUUACAACACAGAAAGAAUUGGUGAGGAGGUCAUUAAGAAAAACAGCUGUGCAGGGGCAUGGAGAAGGAGGCUGGCAGGACAUUUGAAGAGGAAGACUUGUUGAUUCUGGGAUCCAAAAGCACCCUCAAAGAACCUUGAUUAAGAGGACUUAAAAUACCUAUGUGUUUUUAUGGGGCGUAUUUUAUCGGAAUGCUUUGUAAAUAAGCUGACAGAAGAUCAACAGUUUGGGACUAAUUUUCAGUGACCUUUCAUUCUGUAGAAAUCCCUUCUUUUAAGCUCUCUGUGUUGUGUUUGACCUUCAACUGUGUGUGAGAAAGGUGUCUAUCUACCAUGGUGCCUCAGGCAAAACAGGGCAAGAUACUGAAUUCCUGUAGCUGAUGAAUCUGUAAAUGGGUGGCCAUGUCCAACACCUCGUUCUGUGUGAAGUCCUCCCAGACACAGGGAAAAGUCUCCAGCACGCAGCCUCAGUCCUGCAAUCUAAUCCAUGAUGCUGAAAAGGCCUCCUAUGUGCAGUCUCUCCACCAAAGAAGAACACCAGAGCAUCACAUGGACACACUGGCUUUCUUCUAUUUUGUCAGUAUCUGCAUAUGAACAGUUAGAAGAAAUACACAGAAGACAAUGGCUCAAGUACCAGCCCAGGUCCCACUCCUCCACCCUGGAACACACCAACCUUACAGACGUCACCAGCCUGCCAACACUCAGAAGUUAUGUGCAAAGAGCAGCAGGGUCACUGCACAACACCCACGGCAGUUGUAAAGCUGCACUAGGUUGUGGAACUUAUAGUAUCCGUUAUCCUUUUCCUAGAAUUACUCUUCCAUUAGAUUCCUAUGAGUCUUCUCCUAUUUUGGUACUGAAGAUCCCAGUAUUGACCAAUGAAGUUAAGGUGUUUAAAGUAUAUUUGCCAACGAUAUGCUGA